GGUAGUUCUCGGGUGUCGCACCGCAGAAUCAGGCGCCCUCUUCCCUGGUUUUAGGUGCGUCACCCAAGAACCACA
rfam:Myotis davidii contig121111, whole genome shotgun sequence.